UGCAAGUCGAGCGCGAAAGCGGCUUCGGCCGUUAGUAGAGCGGCGGACGGGUGAGGAACACGUGGGUAACCUAUCCUCGGGUGGGGAACAACCCAGGGUAACCUGGGCUAAUUCCGCAUAACAUCCUUAGCUCACAAGAGUUUUGGAUCAAAGCUGGGGACCCUUCGGGGCCUGGCGCCAGAGGAGGGGCCCGCGGCCGAUUGGCUUGUUGGUGAGGUAACGGCUCACCAAGGCUCCGAUCGGUAGCCGGCCUAAGAGGGCGGACGGCCACACUGGGACUGAGAUACGGCCCAGACUCCUACGGGAGGCAGCAGUGGGGAAUUUUUGUCAAUGGGGGAAACCCUGAACAAGCAACGCCGCGUGGAGGACGAAGACCUUCGGGUCGUAAACUCCUGUCGGAGGGGACGAAACCGAUUAUGGUUAAUACCCGUAGUCAUUGACGGUACCCUUAGAGGAAGCCCCGGCUAACUCCGUGCCAGCAGCCGCGGUAAUACGGGGGGGGCAAGCGUUGUUCGGAAUUACUGGGCGUAAAGGGCGUGUAGGCGGUCCUGCAAGUCUUUCGUGAAAUCCCACAGCUCAACUGUGGAACUGCGAGGGAAACUGCAGGACUUGAGUCCGGGAGAGGAGAGCGGAAUUCCCAGUGUAGCGGUGA
rnacentral:rRNA from 1 species